rnacentral:lncRNA from 10 species
AAUCAUCAACUAAGGGUGAUUGUGAAAAAGAGACAGUGGACUGUAAAGAAGCAAAACACAGAAUGAUGGUAACUGUAGCUCUUCUUAUGUAAGAGAGCCUGGAGCUCUGUACACAAGGAUUUAGUGUGUAAUAUUACCUCUCAGAAGAAACUGGACUUGAGGCUGUGGGCCAGUACCCCUGUACCUUGCAUUAAGAACCUAAUAAGUGAAAAUUCAGAAUUACAACCCAAACUCGAUGAGGGAAUUGGCCCAGGGAGGUUGAGUGAUUUUCUUGAAUCGCACAUUUAGUUGGUGGCAGAGCCAGGAUAAUAAUGAAGGACCUUGAACUUCGCUCAGUCCGUGAGUUUUUUUCUAUUACUCCAUCGGUAAUUAUUUCCUUUACUAAAAUGUACAUUCUUAUGAUAUCUUUAAAAUCAUGCUCACCCUUGUAUUUAACAAAUGAUUUACUAACAGUUGAUUUACAUACAAUUUUUAAGGAACAUAUUUAUAGCAUAGAAAGUGGUGCAGAGGGUUUUACCAAAUUUCUCUGGGGUGUCCAGGUCCCCUGGUCCUUCCAGAGGUGCGUAUUCAUAAGUAAAUGUUGGCAUUCUGUCAUCCAUUUUUUCCAGAUGUUCUUCCCAAGUAGUGUGUUAUGUUUUGUGUUUUUAAUAUUUCUCAUACACGUUUUUAAAAAUCUGGGCACAUAAAUCCUAAUAAAACUCUCAACUAUC